CAAGUCGAGCGAUGAAGCACCUUCGGGUGUGAAUUAGCGGCGAACGGGUGAGGAACACGUGAAGAAUCUGCCUUCAACUCUGGGAUAACUCCGGGAAACCGGGGCUAAUACCGGAUAUGAGCCUUGAUCGCAUGAUCGGGGCUGGAAAGUUUUUCGGUUGAAGAUGACUUCGCGGCCUAUCAGCUUGUUGGUGAGGUAAUGGCUCACCAAGGCGACGACGGGUAGCCGGCCUGAGAGGGCGACCGGCCACACUGGGACUGAGACACGGCCCAGACUCCUACGGGAGGCAGCAGUGGGGAAUAUUGGGCAAUGGAGGAAACUCUGACCCAGCGACGCCGCGUGAGGGAUGAAGGCCUUCGGGUUGUAAACCUCUUUCAGUAGGGAAGAAGCGAAAGUGACGGUACCUACAGAAGAAGCACCGGCUAACUAUGUGCCAGCAGCCGCGGUAAUACAUAGGGUGCAAGCGUUGUCCGGAAUUAUUGGGCGUAAAGAGCUCGUAGGUGGUUCGAUACGUCGGAUGUGAAAAUCAGGGGCUCAACCCCUGACCUGCAUCCGAUACGGUCGAGCUAGAGUUUGGUAGGGGAGACUGGAAUUCCUGGUGUAGCGGUGGAAUGCGCAGAUAUCAGGAGGAACACCGAUGGCGAAGGCAGGUCUCUGGGCCAAUACUGACACUGAGGAGCGAAAGCGUGGGGAGCGAACAGGAUUAGAUACCCUGGUAGUCCACGCCGUAAACGGUGGGCGCUAGUUGUGCGAACCUUCCACGGUUUGUGCGACGCAGCUAACGCAUUAAGCGCCCCGCCUGGGGAGUACGAUCGCAAGAUUAAAACUCAAAGGAAUUGACGG
rnacentral:rRNA from 1 species